rnacentral:rRNA from 1 species
GAUGAACGCUAGCGACAGGCUUAACACAUGCAAGUCGAGGGGCAGCACAGGUAGCAAUACCGGGUGGCGACCGGCGCACGGGUGAGUAACGCGUAUGCAACUUGCCUAUCAGAGGGGGAUAACCCGGCGAAAGUCGGACUAAUACCGCAUGAAGCAGGGGCCCCGCAUGGGGAUAUUUGCUAAAGAUUCAUCGCUGAUAGAUAGGCAUGCGUUCCAUUAGGCAGUUGGCGGGGUAACGGCCCACCAAACCGACGAUGGAUAGGGGUUCUGAGAGGAAGGUCCCCCACAUUGGUACUGAGACACGGACCAAACUCCUACGGGAGGCAGCAGUGAGGAAUAUUGGUCAAUGGCCGAGAGGCUGAACCAGCCAAGUCGCGUGAGGGAUGAAGGUUCUAUGGAUCGUAAACCUCUUUUAUAAGGGAAUAAAGUGCGGGACGUGUCCCGUUUUGUAUGUACCUUAUGAAUAAGGAUCGGCUAACUCCGUGCCAGCAGCCGCGGUAAUACGGAGGAUCCGAGCGUUAUCCGGAUUUAUUGGGUUUAAAGGGUGCGUAGGCGGCCUUUUAAGUCAGCGGUGAAAGUCUGUGGCUCAACCAUAGAAUUGCCGUUGAAACUGGGGGGCUUGAGUAUGUUUGAGGCAGGCGGAAUGCGUGGUGUAGCGGUGAAAUGCAUAGAUAUCACGCAGAACCCCGAUUGCGAAGGCAGCCUGCCAAGCCAUUACUGACGCUGAUGCACGAAAGCGUGGGGAUCAAACAGGAUUAGAUACCCUGGUAGUCCACGCAGUAAACGAUGAUCACUAGCUGUUUGCGAUACACUGUAAGCGGCACAGCGAAAGCGUUAAGUGAUCCACCUGGGGAGUACGCCGGCAACGGUGAAACUCAAAGGAAUUGACGGGGGCCCGCACAAGCGGAGGAACAUGUGGUUUAAUUCGAUGAUACGCGAGGAACCUUACCCGGGUUUGAACGCAUUCGGACCGAGGUGGAAACACCUUUUCUAGCAAUAGCCGUUUGCGAGGUGCUGCAUGGUUGUCGUCAGCUCGUGCCGUGAGGUGUCGGCUUAAGUGCCAUAACGAGCGCAACCCUUGCCACUAGUUACUAACAGGUAAAGCUGAGGACUCUGGUGGGACUGCCAGCGUAAGCUGCGAGGAAGGCGGGGAUGACGUCAAAUCAGCACGGCCCUUACAUCCGGGGCGACACACGUGUUACAAUGGCGUGGACAAAGGGAAGCCACCUGGCGACAGGGAGCGAAUCCCCAAACCACGUCUCAGUUCGGAUCGGAGUCUGCAACCCGACUCCGUGAAGCUGGAUUCGCUAGUAAUCGCGCAUCAGCCAUGGCGCGGUGAAUACGUUCCCGGGCCU